rnacentral:rRNA from 1 species
GAUCAUGGCUCAGGAUGAACGCUGGCGGCGUGCUUAACACAUGCAAGUCGAACGGAGCUUAGAAGGAAGCUUGCUUUCAUUUAAGCUUAGUGGCGGACGGGUGAGUAACGCGUGAGUAACCUGCCCUUGAGAGGGGAAUAACAUCGAGAAAUCGGUGCUAAUACCGCAUAAUGUCGGAGUACCGCAUGACAUUCCGACCAAAGAUUUUAUCGCUCAAGGAUGGACUCGCGUCCGAUUAGCUGGUUGGUGAGGUAACGGCCCACCAAGGCUUCGAUCGGUAGCCGAACUGAGAGGUUGAUCGGCCACAUUGGGACUGAGACACGGCCCAGACUCCUACGGGAGGCAGCAGUGGGGAAUAUUGGGCAAUGGGCGCAAGCCCUGACCCAGCAACGCCGCGUGAAGGAUGAAGGUCUUCGGAUUGUAAACUUCUUUGAUUGGGGAAGAAUAAAUGACCUACCCAAAGAACAAGCCACGGCUAACUACGUGCCAGCCGCCGC